rnacentral:rRNA from 1 species
UACGACGGGGGCUAGCGUUGCUCGGACUUACUGGGCGUAACGGGCGCGUAGGCGGAUGUCUAAGUCAGAGGUAAAAGCCCAGGGCUCAACCUUGGAACUGCCUUUGAUACUGGACAUCUUGAGUACGGGAGAGGUGAGUGGAACUCCGAGUGUAGAGGUGAAAUUCGUAGAUAGUCGGAAGAACACCAGUGGCGAAGGCGACUCACUGGCCCGUUACUGACGCUGAGGCGCGAAAGCGUGGGGAGCAAACAGG